AUACCCCCUCAAUUCGAGCCCUCAGCGUCUUCUGAGUUGAGAGCAAUUGAAUCCCUGCCUCCUUUAUCAUUUCACAAUACAAUCAAAUCAAGCCACUACAUUUGAAUUCCAAGCCAAUGUCACCACAUGAGCGCUAGAGGGUAGCAGAUGCGUUGUCUAGUAUGUUUCGACAGCGUUUGUCUGCUACUGCUUGCCGUAGUUGCCGGGUAUUGGAGGUCAGCUGGAGGAGCCAAAGUGGGGAAGACGUCUCUGAUCAUGUCACUGGUCAGCGAGGAGUUCCCUGACGACGUUCCCCUUCGAGCGGAGGAGAUCACCAUCCCAGCAGACGUAACUCCAGAGAGAGUCCCCACACACAUAGUGGACUACUCAGAAGCAGAACAGUCAGAUGAGCAGUUGUAUCAAGAAAUAUCAAAGGCAAAUGUUAUUUGCAUAGUUUACUCAGUCAACAACAAGAAGUCCAUUGAGAAGGUGACAAGCCAUUGGAUUCCCCUCAUAAACGACAGGACGGACAAGGAUAGCAGGGUACCACUGAUCCUGGUGGGGAAUAAGUCAGACCUGGUAGAACACAGCAGUAUGGAGACCAUCCUGCCCAUCAUGAACCAGUACUCUGACAUUGAGACCUGCGUGGAGUGCUCUGCCAAAAACCUGAAGAACAUCUCAGAGCUGUUCUACUAUGCCCAGAAGGCAGUGCUCCACCCUACAGGACCCCUGUACUGCCCAGAGGAGAAGGAGAUGAAGCCGUCUUGCAUCAAGUCUCUAACUCGCAUCUUCAAAGUGUCGGACCUGGACAACGAUGGCAUCCUCAACGACAAAGAACUCAACUUCUUCCAGAGAACGUGUUUCAACAUGCCCCUGGCGCCCCAGGCCUUAGAGGAUGUCAAGAACGUGGUGAGGAAGAACAUGACGGACGGAGUUGAGGACAACGGACUCACGCUCAAAGGGUUCUUGUUUCUGCACACGCUUUUCAUCCAGAGGGGGCGUCACGAGACCACCUGGACGGUGCUGCGGAGGUUUGGGUACGACGACGACUUGGAGCUUCACCAGGAAUACCUGUUCCCCCUGCUAAAAAUACCUGCUGACUGCACCACCGAGCUCAACCACAACGCGUACCUCUUCCUCCAGAGUGUCUUCGACAAGCACGACAAAGACAGAGACUGUGCCUUGUCUCCAGAGGAAGUCAAGGACCUGUUCAAAGUGUUUCCCUACAUGCCCUGGGGCCCCGACGUCAACAACACAGUGUGUACCAACGACCAGGGCUGGAUCACCUACCAGGGUUACCUGUCACAGUGGACGUUAACGACGUACCUGGAUGUGCAGCGCUGCUUGGAGUACCUGGGCUACCUUGGCUACUCAAUCAUCUGUGAGCAGGAGUCCCAGGCAGCAGCCAUCACAGUGACCCGUAACAAACGCAUCGACCUGCAGAAGAAGCAGACGCAGCGCAGCGUGUUCCGCUGUAACAUUCUGGGAGCCAGGGGGAGCGGCAAGACCAGCUUCCUGCAGGCCUUUCUGGGUCGCAACCUGCUGAAACAGCGGAAGAUCAGAGAAGACCAUAAAUCGUUUUACUCCAUCAACACCACGUAUGUCUACGGCCAGGAGAAGUACUUACUGCUUCAUGAGGUCAUGCCAGACUUUGACUUCCUCUCAGAAGAGGACCUGGCGUGUGACGUGGUCUGUCUGGUGUAUGACGUCAACAACCCGCGCUCCUUUGAGUACUGUGCCAAGGUCUACAAGCAAUACUUCAUGGACAGCAAGACGCCGUGCAUGAUGAUCGCCUCCAAGUCAGACCUGCACGAGGCGCGCCAGCACUACAGCCUGACCCCACUGGACUUCUGCCGCAAGAACAAGCUGCACCCGCCCCAACCCUGGACCUGCAACACGGUGGACGCCCCCAACAAGGACCUCUACACCAAACUCACCACCAUGGCCAUGUACCCCCACGCCAAGCUCCGCUGCAUGUGUACCUGCAACAGGUGUACCUUCUGCAUCUGUCAGAACAUCCUCCAGUCCCAGCUACUGACAAAUAUAAAGGCCAAAUUCUACAGUGUUUUUCUGAACAGGUUACAUGAUGUUGGAGCCUAUCUGUUGGCUGACGAGGAGUGCAGUCUGAUCCAGCAGGUUCACGCCAUCAGUAAUGUAGAGGAGUCUAUCUACAUGGAGUCUUCUGUCCAGCCCUAUGGGCCCCAGGCCAGGUAAAACACAGUAUGGAGAGUCUUCUGUCUAGUCCUAUGGGCCACAGGCCAGGUAAAACACAGCAUGGAGUCUUCUGUCUAGUCCUAUGGGCCCCAGGCCAGGUAAAACACAGUAUGGAGAGUCUUCUGUCUAGUCCUAUGGGCCACAGGCCAGGUAAAACACAGCAUGGAGUCUUCUGUCUAGUCCUAUGGGCCCCAGGCCAGGUAAAACACAGCAUGGAGAGUCUUCUGUCUAGUCCUAUGGGCCCCAGGCCAGGUAAAACACAGCAUGGAGAGUCUUCUGUCUAGUCCUAUGGGCCCCAGGCCAGGUAAAACACAGCAUGGAGAGUCUUCUGUCUAGUCCUAUGGGCCCCAGGCCAGGUAAAACACAGCAUGGAGAGUCUUCUGUCUAGUCCUAUGGGCCCCAGGCCAGGUAAAACACAGCAUCUGACAAACUGGGGGCGAAGGGACAGCUGUUUGUCACUGGCUGGGUAGAUCCAGGUAUGGUGGACGUUGAUGUGGCAACGGCAAGCACUGUUGGAGGAGGAGAUUGCUGUAGGCUCCGUUAUUAUAUGAAGAAGAGAUUAUAAUGAAGGCUACAGACAUAACGAGCUACAUCUAAGUACUUUGGCCUCAACCUUCAAUAAACAACAGCCUUUGAUCUGUUUUCACCCAGUGUACCUGAUGGAACUCACUGACUACCUUUUUAAUGGCCAUCUAUCAUUAACUUUGAAGGUACCGGUCGAUGUCUUAGUCCUACAAAUAGCUGGUUGGUCUGGUUUGUGUGUGGCUGCUUGCUGAAUAAGCUUUGUUGUGCAGUAUGCUGGUGGGAGGAAGGUAUUUCUCUUCCUCUGAGGUACAUGUCAUGGUUAAGCAGGAUGGCAGUUGUCUAUCUAAUGGACACUUCCUGCUUGAAUGGGUUAGGGUUUCUGCUGCUGUGUCAGAUAUCACUGUGAAGAUUAGUGUGUGUGUGUGUGUGUGUGUGUGUGUGUGUGUGUGUGUGUGUGUGUGUGUGUGUGUGUGUGUGUGUGUGUGUGUGUGUGUGUGUGUGUGUGUGUGCGAGAGAAAGAAUAUGUUUGUGAGAGAAAGAAUUGUGUGUGAGAGGGAGAGAAUGUGAGUGUGAACAUGAGAUUGUGUGUUUGGCAAUUUAUAAGUUAGAGCUUUCUGCUAACCUCUGCACUUCAGAAAUUCCUCUCGCUUCUAGAGCCUCUCCUUCUCCCCCUCCCCCCCCCUCUCCUUUCCCUCCCCUCUCAUCCUCCUGUCUUCCCUCCAUGUUGUUGUCUCAUACUGUUAGUACUGUAUGUUAUAGCCAGGGUUGUGCUCAGUGGACCUAGAAACUGAGGCACUAUAUUCAAUCAGUACAGUCAAAAUGCUUGUUAAUUUCCACCUCGUGUACCUAUUGAAUGUGACCCGGACUUAGGGCUUUUCUCUUGUUCCUGUUUCCCUAGCAGAACCUCCUCCCCGUCCCUCACUCUUUCUGUCCAUAGCCAAUACUUUCCUCGCCUUUUAGGUUUCACCCAAUAAAUAGGAGUUAUUGUCAGAUUGACCAAACAAAUCUAAUGUUCCAGUAACAGCCACUCACAUGUUAAUGUAUGCGGUACUGCUCGCAUCACAGACUUAGCCUGGUUAAACUAACUGAACGCUGAACUCCCCAUUCUAGAGAAGUGAAACAAUGGUGAGCGCAGCGUUCAGUCUGGUUUAACCAGGCUAUCACAGACUAGCUCAUUUUCAGAAGACAGUUUAACUAGGCUGUCUUCUGAAAAUGAGCUAGUCUGUGAUAGUAUAUCAUGUUUAACCAGGCUAACUCAUUUUCAGAAGACAGUAUAUCAUGUAAAGAGGUUGUAUUGGUACUACAACAUUGGUACUAUCGAACAGUUGGACUGUACCUCUGUUUUUGUAGACAUUUGUUUAGGAAGCUCAGAGAACAUAACUUUGGUUUGUCAUUUGUCAACAUGUCCUCAUGUGAUUUGGAAACGAGGCUGUAUUGUUGUAUUCAUUUCUUUAUCCCCCCACUCCCUCUCUUUAUCCCCCAC